rnacentral:rRNA from 1 species
AUGAUGAUGAUGGGUUACAAAUUUGUGAUCCAUGAAAAUAUUUGCUGGAAAGAACUUUUAAGUCGAACAAAACAUCAUGUUUGCAUUGUCCAUAAGAUAGCAAAGCUGAAAACAAAAAUACUCUAUAUCAUGAAACAUUUGCAUUAUGAUUUGGUAUUGCCCUGUUUUGUUUUGUGUUAUGACCAAGUAGAGUCGAGGACAACUCCUUUUCAAGAAAGGGGGGAUGAUGAGGACAUCUCGGUCAUUGAAACAAGACCAAUCAUCCCUGGAAAAACUCCAAGUUGUGACAAACAAGUACAUGAUCAGAUGCAACACAAUUCAAAGGUGAAAGCUACAAAUGAGAAUUGCAUCAUUUCUUUGCAUGGAUAUUAUCUACUUCCCUUCUAUUUAUCCUUUGCAGAUCAAAGAGAGUCGAGGAUGACUCUUCAUCAAGGGAGGGAGGAUGAUGAGCACAUGGGUACAUCAUACAUGACAUUUCAGAAAAGUGCACAAUUUAGUUGGAAAGAAUUACUAAGCCGAAUCAAGCAAACACAUGGCCAUGUGAAUGCUAACUUAAGUUCAUACCACAAUCUUGAAGACAUGGCUGCACUUUCAUCCCGAUUAUUGUUGGUUGAACUUAGGUAUCACAUGAAACAAAUCCAACAACCUAUGAGCUCUUGA